AAGUCGUAACAAGGUUUCCGUAGGUGAACCUGCGGAAGGAUCAUUAUCGAGUUUUGAACGGGUUGUAGCUGGCCUCUCACGAGGCAUGUGCACGCCUGGCUCAUCCACUCUUAACCUCUGUGCACUUUAUGUAAGAGAAAAAAGUGGUGGAAGCUUCCAGGAUCUCGCGAGAGGUCUUCGGUUGAACAAGCCGUUUUUCUUUCUUAUGUUUUACUACAAACGCUUCAGUUAUAGAAUGUCAACUGUGUAUAACACAUUUAUAUACAA
rnacentral:misc_RNA from 1 species